rnacentral:rRNA from 1 species
ACGGCUCAGUAACACGUCGAUAACCUUCCCUACGGUCAGGCAUAAGCUCGGGAAACUGAGUGUAACACCUGAUAGGGGAUGGGCACUGGAACGUCCCAUCCCUCAAACUCGUGCCGUAGGAUGGGUCGGCGGCGGAUUAGGCAGUUGGUGGGGUAACGGCCCACCAAACCUUUGAUCCGUACGGGCCAUGGGAGUGGUAGCCCGGAGAGGGACACUGGAAUACUGGUCCCAGCCCUACGGGGUGCAGCAGGCGCGAAACCUCCACAAUGCACGAAAGUGUGAUGGGGGGAUCCUACGUGCUCAUGUCUAACAUGGGCUUUUGCCAAGAAUAGAUACCUUGGCGAAUAAGGGGUGGGCAAGACCGGUGCCAGCCGCCGCGGUAACACCGGCGCCCCAAGUGGCAAUCGCGAUUAUUGGGCCUAAAGCGUCCGUAGCCGGACAAUUAAAUCCUCUGUGAAAUCGUCGCGCUUAACGUGACGGCGCGCAGGGGAGACUGGUUGUCUCGAGACCGGGAGGGGUCAGAGGUAUGCCGUGGGGACUGGUAAAAUGGUAUAAUCCACGGUAGACCACCAAUGGCGAAGGCAUCUGACCAGCACGGAUCUGACGGUGAGGGACGAAAGCCAGGGGAGCGAACUGGAUUAGAUACCCGAGUAGUCCUGGCCGUAAACGCUGCGAGCAAGGUGUUGCCUAUCCCAUGAGGAUGGGCAGUGUCGAAAUGAAGAUGCUAAGCUCGCCGCCUGGGAAGUACGGUCGCAAGACUGAAACUUUAAGGAAUUGGCGGGGGAGCAC